UUUGCAUAAGGCAGCAGGUUGGCCUUCCGAUAAGGAAGCGUUUCCGGGGGUGGGGCCGUCUCCGCUCAGCCUAGCUGUCACUCGAGGUGUUGGCUGACUGCUGUCUUCGGUGAGUCGCGUCUCGGCUUGUAGGUUCAGAAUUCAAGUUGGGAAGCGUGAUAUCGCUACUGAGACACCAAUAGGGUUCUGGAGGGCACCUCCAAGAAUCCUCCAGAGCUGUCGAAAUUGAGGCUCAAUCAGAAGCCUGGGUACCUGCCGUUCUGGAGAGACAAGACUUACAUCUUAGGACAAAAGGAACACAACAUGGUUUCAAGUAUAAUCCCUAAACCAAAAGUCAUAUGGGUGAACACACUGAGUGCCAGGAACUCAUUGAAGAGUUUGCCUGAGAAAAAAGCCACUUCGAGAUGGAAGUGUCCCCCAGCAAAAGCCACUGAGACAGGAACGUCAUGCAGAUUGAGAAUCCAAAGGUAACAACCAUCUGGCUACUAAGAAUGGGAUGUUUUGCUCUUGAUAUUGUAGAUGACUGAUUUUCAGAAAAUGCAGAAUAAAAAUUAUAGGGGAGUAUAGUAUUUUAUAAGGCAGGCUAAAUGAACUAACUAAACUUUUUUUCUAUCUACAAGUUUCACUUUUUAUCUUAGGCAUUACAGUAAUACAUAGAAUUACAAAAAUAUAAUGGAACUCCAUGUCAUAUCAUAUGCUUCAAUAAUGAUUAAUGUAGAAUUGAAGGGAGGAGGGAGGGGAAGGGGAUGUAAAAAGAAUUAAGAUGUGUUAUGUACAUGUACCAACUCUCCACAA